rnacentral:rRNA from 1 species
GAGGGGCCCGCGCCCGAUUAGCUUGUUGGUAGGGUAACGGCCUACCAAGGCUUUGAUCGGUAGCCGGUCUGAGAGGAUGGCCGGCCACACUGGAACUGAGACACGGUCCAGACUCCUACGGGAGGCAGCAGUGGGGAAUCUUGCGCAAUGGGCGAAAGCCUGACGCAGCGACGCCGCGUGGGGGAUGAAGCCUUUCGGGGUGUAAACCCCUUUCGACCCGGACGAAUGGCCCGCAAGGGAAUUGACGGUACGGGUAGAAGAAGCCCCGGCUAACUACGUGCCAGCAGCCGCGGUAAGACGUAGGGGGCCAGCGUUGCUCGGAAUUACUGGGCGUAAAGGGUCCGUAGGCGGUGCGGCAAGUCGGGGGUGAAAUCUCUGGGCUUAACUCAGAGGCUGCCUCCGAAACUGCCGUGCUCGAGUGCGGGAGAGGCGAGCGGAAUUGCAGGUGUAGCGGUGAAAUGCGUAGAUAUCUGCAGG